rnacentral:tRNA from 1 species
AAAGUUUUAUGAUAAAAAUUGUCUUAAGUUUUCAUACUUCUUAGGUUAUACAUUAA